rnacentral:lncRNA from 1 species
AUGACUCCUCCUCCCCCCCCCCCGGUCUCGUCCUGCCUGGCUGAGCCCGGCCGAAAUGCGCCCGUUGGAUGCUCGCGGUGGCCACGGGCCCCCGGUACCCCCCCGGUACCGCCCGACCCCAAAUGUCCCCGAGCCCGCGGUCACACCAAAUUGUGCCAAAUCCCAGCGGGGGCUGUGGGGGCAACUCCCGGCUCCCUCCGAUGGGAACGGGAGCGGAGCACCGAGCGCGGGCAGGCCGGGCACCGGGGUGGGGAACCGGGGCCGGGCACCGGUUCCUCGCACCUCGGCCGCGCACCGGGGCCGCGCACCGGAGCUCCCCUCGGAGCCGUGCCCGGCGGCGGGGCCGCAUUGCGGGGCCGCUCCGUGCCCGAGCAGCACCCGCAGCUUCUCGCCUCGGCGGGGCCGCCCGGGCUCUGGGGAGCCAAAAUCACGGGAAUUAAAAAGAAAACGCGGCCCCAAACGGAGGCGUUAAAGCCCGGCCCCGCCGUGCAGACCGGGCACACCGGGCCCUUCCCGGGAGCCCCGGGGGCGAGCAGAUGCCGGUCCCCCCCCUUCCUCCCGCAGCCCCCCUGGGGGUCCCGGCGCCUGCCCCCCCAUCCCCUUUCCGGUGGGCUCCCGCCUUUCGCCGCCGCAUCUCCGGGUCCCGGUGCCGGUACCGGCCCCAAACACCGGCUCCUCGCCCCCUUGGCGGCCCCGCCGCAGUCGCCGGCCGCCCGGAGCCCCCCCGGCUCCGAGCCCCCCGCCCCGGGGCUUUUCCCGCAGAGAAACCGUUCCCGUCCCGGGGCCGGGCGGCGGCCGUCGGAAGAGGCUCCGCUCCCCCGCGGGCACCGGCGAGGGCCGGGGCCGGGGUCGGCGGGGCUUUGGGGGGGCUCGGGGAGGCCACGAGCACCUCGGGGGGGCCCCGCUGCCCCGGCCGGGCCCGGUUCGUCGGGGCAGGGCCGGAGCCGCUUCCCGUCGGGCCGCUUCCAACCCCGGCCGGGGCCGUCCGUGCCCGCUGCCCCGAAAACACCGGAUUUUCCCCCAAAUCCGUGGGGCCGCGGGGGCACGGCGCACGCUGCCCCCACGCGAGUUUUCUCCCUGAAGCGGCUUCCCCGAGGGAACCCGAGGGCUCCGUGCCCGCACUCCCGGUGCCGGUGCCCGGUGCCUGCAGCCGGCGGGGCCGGGGGGAGCGGCGCCGUGUGCCCGGGAGCCCGCUCCGCGUCUCGGGGUCGCGGCCGGCGGGGGAUGAGCCCCGGUGGCGGGGACGGUGAAGGGACCGGCGGCGGUUGGCCGAGGCAGGCGGCUGGGCACGGCGCCCGCUCAGCACCGCCGCGGCGGACAGCUCCGUGCCGCGCACCGGCACCGGGCACCGGGAACCGGGCACCGGGCAUCAGGCACCGGGUACCGGUUACCGGGCACCGAGCACCGGGAACCGGGCACCGGGCACCGGGCACCGGGCACCGGGAACCGGGCAUCGGGCACCGGGCACCGGGCACCGGGCACCAGGCACCGGGCACCGCGCAGCGGGCACCGGGUACCGGGUACCGGGAACCGGGCACCGAGCACCGAGCACCGGGCACCGGGCACCAGGCACCGGGCACCGCGCAGCGGGCACCGUGCCGAGCCUUCGAGCCGACCGGGCACCGGGGCGGCCACAAAGGACCCGGCCUGGCCACCGCCACCGGGCACCGCGCCGGGGCCACCGGCACCGCGGACCGAUGCCAGCCGCGGGCAGCGAACCAAGGCCAGCUCAGAGCCGCCGUCCCCGGGGGAGCGGAGCGGUGCCACCGCCCGGGCUGCCCGCCGCGGCUCACCGGUGGCCGCGGGGCCGGGUCCGAGCGGGGUCCGCGGCUCCGGUUCCCGGUGCCUUUAUUGGCGGGGGGGGGACACCGCCUCCCCGGUCCCGGGGGGGACACCCGUGGGGCAGAGCCGCGUUAUAUCAGCGCCUCCCCACCGCGGGCCGCGCACUCGGGCACGGCGGAGCGGCGGAGCGGUCCCGGGGCCGGUCCCGGGGCCAGGCACGGGGCGGGGGUCGUUCCGCCGCCCCCCCCACCUCGCUCCCCGUUAUCCCCUUCUCCGUGCCCCGGGGCGGGCGGGUCGGAAGGAAAGCGGCGAAGUCGGCGGAGUCAACAUUGA